CUGCUCCUUCCCAACAUCGCUCUGCUGUCCGGGCUGUAACGACUCAGCAACCGUAAUGGCUGCUUUUGUGACGAGUACUGGCUCAUUCCCAGAACUGCUGUUCUGACUACAAUCAGACUUGUAAUUCUUCUUCUAACCACUUCUGCAAUCACAACUGAAGACCGCACCUCAACAACUUCCCCACUUACCAGCAGUAAGUCACCAACAUCCCGUUCAAACAGUGUAACGACUGAAGAACAGAAGCAAAAAGAUCCCACCAGAGUCAUCAUGAAAGUGAGGGGCAACCUGAACACACACAGGGGAGAGGAGACCGUAGGCCUUGCAGA